UACGUAGGGUGCGAGCGUUGUCCGGAAUUACUGGGCGUAAAGAGCUCGUAGGUGGUUUGUCGCGUUGUUCGUGAAAACCUGAGGCUUAACCUUGGGCGUGCGGGCGAUACGGGCAGACUGGAGUACUGCAGGGGAGACUGGAAUUCCUGGUGUAGCGGUGGAAUGCGCAGAUAUCAGGAGGAACACCAGUAGCGAAGGCGGCACUCUGGGCCGGUACUGACGCUGAGGAGCGAAAGCGUGGGGAGCGAACAGG
rnacentral:rRNA from 1 species